GGUACCUGCAAUCCUGGAGGUGUCAGCAGCCGCGGUAAAACGUAGGUCACAAGCGUUGUCCGGAAUUACUGGGUGUAAAGGGAGCGCAGGCGGGAUCGCAAGUCAGAUGUGAAAACUAUGGGCUUAACCCAUAAACUGCAUUUGAAACUGUGGUUCUUGAGUGAAGUAGAGGUAGGCGGAAUUCCCGGUGUAGCGGUGGAAUGCGUAGAUAUCGGGAGGAACACCAGUGGCGAAGGCGGCCUACUGGGCACCAACUGACGCUGAGGCUCGAAAGUGUGGGUAGCAAACAGGAUUAGAAACCCCAGUAGUCCAGAAGUGUUAGUAACCGCG
rnacentral:rRNA from 1 species